GACGAACGCUGGCGGCGUGCCUAAUACAUGCAAGUCGAACGAGUGGCGGACGGGUGAGUAACACGUGGGAACCUACCCAUCAGAGGGGGAUAACACUUGGAAACAGGUGCUAAUACCGCAUAUUGAUGGAUGGACCCGCGGUGCAUUCGCUAGUUGGUGGGGUAAAGGACUACCAAGGCGACGAUCCGUAACUGGUCUGAGAGGAUGAUCCGUCACACUGGAACUGAGACACGGUCCAGACUCCUACGGGAGGCAGCAGUGGGGAAUAUUGGACAAUGGGCGAAAGCCCGAUCCAGCCAUGCCGCGUGUGUGAAGAAGGUCUUCGGAUUGUAAAGCACUUUAAGUUGGGAGGCGUUACCAACAGAAUAAGCACCGGCUAACUUCGUGACAGCAGCCGCGGUAAUAC
rnacentral:rRNA from 1 species